AUGGAGGGACACCCUGGUGUAUCAACACCAUUGGUAGUCUGGAAAACGCUAUGGAAGCUUCAAGUCCCACGUAAAGUUCAGAUUUUUGGAUGGAGAAUAUUGCGAGGAAUAAUCCCGCUUCGAGCUAUACUUGCUAAUAGACAUAUAGGUUCAAAUGGGGCUUGUCCAAUUUGUAACCUGGGAGUGGAGGACAUCCGACACCUACUUUUCCUGUGCACUAAUGCGAAGGAAUUAUGGAGGAGACUGGGUGUGACACAUAUUAUUGACCGAGCAAUUCAUGUGGAUAGAUCUGGUUCGGCGAUAUUUGAAUUUAUACUGUCUUUACCAGACCAGCAGCUCAUGGUUCAUCAAGAGUUGAAUUUUAAACAAGUUAUAAUUGUUUGAGGGUGGUAUCUAUGGUGGAUAUGGAGACGUGUGACACAUAAUGAAGCAAUUCCGUCAGCAUGGAAGUGGCCGCUAUCGGUACUAUCUAUUUCAAGUAACCAUCAGAGAGCUUCGGCUAUGACACAAGGAACAUAA
rnacentral:rRNA from 1 species